GCAACUGUCUAAGGUAAUCGCGUGCGGUCUCAGCCGUACGAGGAAAGUCCGAGCUCCGCAGGGCAGGGUGCCGGGUAACACCCGGUGGGGGCGACCCCAAGGAAAGUGCCACAGAAAAGAAGACGCUGAUCACCGGUAACCUGGUCAUCAGCAAAGCUGAAACGGUGCGGUAAGAGCGCACCAGCGGACGGGUAACCGUUCGGCUUGGCAAACCCCACCCGGAGCAAGACCAAAUAGGAGGGAAACAGGAGCGCCCGUCCUUCUCUCGGGUUGGUCGCUGGAGGUGUCAGGUAACUGGCAUCGUAGACAGAUGAUUACCGUCCCGGAAACGGGUCACAGAACUCGGCUUAUUGGGCAGUUGCAUAG
rnacentral:RNase_P_RNA from 1 species